UCGGGUCUAGUGGCGCACGGGUGCGUAACACGUGGGAAUCUGCCCUUUGGUAUGGAAUAACUCUGGGAAACUAGCGCUAAUGCCAUAUGAUGCCGCAAGGCCAAAGAUUUAUCGCCAAGGGAUGAGCCCGCGUAGGAUUAGCUAGUUGGUGGGGUAAAGGCCUACCAAGGCAACGAUCCUUAGCUGGUCUGAGAGGAUGAUCAGCCACACUGGGACUGAGACACGGCCCAGACUCCUACGGGAGGCAGCAGUGGG
rnacentral:rRNA from 1 species